GCAUAUACAUAUUUUUAAUGAAAAAACUAAACCAGAUGGGUUUCCAAUAUGAAUGUGUUCCUGUUACUUUUUGCUGUCUACAAUUAGCCAACAAAUCUCCGGGUCUUAUGAAAGGAAGCACUUCUAAAUCCGUGGAUCAGACAGUGGUCGAUUCAUAGUGGCCCCAGCUCUAUCUCAUAUGACCCCGCUAUUCGCAAGGCACCAGCAAGUUAACUAGAGCAUAUUCUUCUCAUCAGGAUAGUGGAAGGCAAGAGGACAUGCCUAAAAAGACAAGCACAUUCCAAAUUUCUGCUUGCCUGAGAGCUCUCACUCAUCAAAGCAGGUCAUGGCUCACAUCAGCAUCAGUGGCACAGAAAAAUAUACUCCUCCCUUCGAAGUUGGGGGGGUUGGGAGUGUAGCGAAGAAAUGAACCUUUGCUGAAUAAUAAUCUACUACUUCUUGAAUAAAAACAAAUAUAAGGUG